rnacentral:rRNA from 1 species
UACGUAAGGGGCAAGCGUUGUCCGGAAUCACUGGGCGUAAAGCGCGCGCAGGCGGCGAUCUACGUCUGGGGUGAAAGCCCAGAGCUCAACUCUGGGACUGCCUUGGAUACGGGAUCGCUUGAGGAUCGGAGAGGCAAGGGGAAUUCCACGUGUAGCGGUGAAAUUCGUAGAGAUGUGGAGGAACACCUGUGGCGAAGGCGCCUUGCUGGCCGAUUUCUGACGCUGAGGCGCGAAAGCGUGGGGAGCAAACAGG